rnacentral:rRNA from 1 species
AGUGAACGCUGGCGGUAGGCCUAACACAUGCAAGUCGAACGGAUCCUUCGGGAUUAGUGGCGGACGGGUGAGUAACACGUGGGAACGUGCCCUUUGGUUCGGAACAACUCAGGGAAACUUGAGCUAAUACCGGAUGUGCCCUUCGGGGGAAAGAUUUAUCGCCAUUGGAGCGGCCCGCGUCUGAUUAGCUAGUUGGUGAGGUAAAGGCUCACCAAGGCGACGAUCAGUAGCUGAUCUGAGAGGAUGAUCAGCCACAUUGGGACUGAGACACGGCCCAAACUCCUACGGGAGGCAGCAGUGGGGAAUCUUGCGCAAUGGGCGAAAGCCUGACGCAGCCAUGCCGCGUGAAUGAUGAAGGUCUUAGGAUUGUAAAAUUCUUUCACCGGGGACGAUAAUGACGGUACCCGGAGAAGAAGCCCCGGCUAACUUCGUGCCAGCCGCCGCGGUAA